rnacentral:rRNA from 1 species
UACGAAGGGAGCUAGCGUUGUUCGGAAUCACUGGGCGUAAAACGCACGUAGGCGGAUUUGCCAGUCAGGGGUGAAAUCCCGGGGCUCAACCUCGGAACUGCCUUUGAUACAGCAAGUCUUGAGUUCGAGAGAGGUGGGUGGAAUUCCUAGUGUAGAGGUGAAAUUCGUAGAUAUUAGGAAGAACACCGGUGGCGAAGGCGGCCCACUGGCUCGACACUGACGCUGAGGUGCGAAAGCGUGGGGAGCAAACAGG